AGAUUACUGUUCAAAAUAGUUAAGGAUGUGGAUUGCUCUAGUUUUAGCGGCUGAAGAGGACCCUAGUUGGUCCUAGAACGGCCUGAGGUAGAGGGGUUUUAGUCGGUAUGUCCGAGGAUUUCUUCGUCGGGAAUCCGACACUACCCAGUCGUACGAACGGCUGGGUGUCUUUUGAAGAUUUCCCCUCUUCCACGAAA
rfam:Agrilus planipennis Contig41058, whole genome shotgun sequence.